rnacentral:rRNA from 1 species
UACGUAGGGUGCAAGCGUUAAUCGGAAUUACUGGGCGUAAAGCGUGCGCAGGCGGUCAUGCAAGUCAGAUGUGAAAUCCCCGGGCUCAACCUGGGAACUGCAUUUGUGACUGCAUGGCUGGAGUGCGGCAGAGGGGGAUGGAAUUCCGCGUGUAGCAGUGAAAUGCGUAGAUAUGCGGAGGAACACCGAUGGCGAAGGCAAUCCCCUGGACCUGUACUGACGCUCAUGCACGAAAGCGUGGGGAGCAAACAGG